CAAAGAUUUAUCGGCAGAGGAUGGGCCUGCGUCUGAUUAGCUAGUUGGUAAGGUAACGGCUUACCAAGGCGACGAUCAGUAGCCGACCUGAGAGGGUGAACGGCCACAUUGGAACUGAGACACGGUCCAAACUCCUACGGGAGGCAGCAGUGGGGAAUAUUGCACAAUGGGCGAAAGCCUGAUGCAGCAACGCCGCGUGAAGGAAGAAGGCCUUCGGGUCGUAAACUUCUGUCCUUGGGGAAGAAGAACUGACGGUACCCAAGGAGGAAGCCCCGGCUAACUACGUGCCAGCAGCCGCGGUAAUACGUAGGGGGCAAGCGUUAUCCGGAAUUAUUGGGCGUAAAGAGUACGUAGGUGGCAACCUAAGCGCAGGGUUUAAGGCAAUGGCUCAACCAUUGUUCGCCCUGCGAACUGGGAUGCUUGAGUGCAGGAGAGGAAAGCGGAAUUCCUAGUGUAGCGGUGAAAUGCGUAGAUAUUAGGAGGAACACCAGUGGCGAAGGCGGCUUUCUGGACUGUAACUGACACUGAGGUACGAAAGCGUGGGGAGCAAACAGGAUUAGAUACCCUGGUAGUCCACGCCGUAAACGAUGAGCACUAGGUGUCGGGGUCGCAAGACUUCG
rnacentral:rRNA from 1 species